GAACGGGUGAGUAACACGUGGGAAACCUACCUCUUAGCAGGGGAUAACAUUUGGAAACAGAUGCUAAUACCGUAUAACAAUGACAACCGCAUGGUUGUUAUUUAAAAGAUGGUUCUGCUAUCACUAAGAGAUGGUCCCGCGGUGCAUUAGCUAGUUGGUAAGGUAAUGGCUUACCAAGGCGAUGAUGCAUAGCCGAGUUGAGAGACUGAUCGGCCACAAUGGGACUGAGACACGGUCCAUACUCCUACGGGAGGCAGCAGUAGGGAAUCUUCCACAAUGGGCGAAAGCCUGAUGGAGCAACGCCGCGUGUGUGAUGAAGGGUUUCGGCUCGUAAAACACUGUUGUAAGAGAAGAAUGACAUUGAGAGUAACUGUUCAAUGUGUGACGGUAUCUUACCAGAAAGGAACGGCUAAAUACGUGCCAGCAGCCGCGGUAAUACGUAUGUUCCAAGCGUUAUCCGGAUUUAUUGGGCGUAAAGCGAGCGCAGACGGUUAUUUAAGUCUGAAGUGAAAGCCCUCAGCUCAACUGAGGAAUUGCUUUGGAAACUGGAUGACUUGAGUGCAGUAGAGGAAAGUGGAACUCCAUGUGUAGCGGUGAAAUGCGUAGAUAUACGGAAGAACACCAGUGGCGAAAGCGGCUUUCUGGACUGUAACUGACGUUGAGGCUCGAAAGUGUGGGUAGCAAACAGGAUUAGAUACCCUGGUAGUCCACACCGUAAACGAUGAGUGCUAGGUGUUUGAGGGUUUCCGCCCUUAAGUGCCGCAG
rnacentral:rRNA from 1 species